rnacentral:lncRNA from 1 species
UUUUUACUGUAUCUACGAUCUGAAACAGUUUCUCCCUAUUCUUCAGCAUAUAUCUCAAGUUCCUUCUUCAUAAAAUAUUUUUAUAAUCCUCUAAUUCAUUAAUGAGCCUUAUUUCCCUCCUCCUCCAUCAAUCUAUCAAUUUCUUAACAGUGGGGCUUGUGGUGGUGUAUUUGCUGAAGCCAGUGCUGUGCACACAGGACUGUCUGCUUAUUGACAUAAACUGUAAGUAAAAGAACAGUUACAGUAAUUCAAUUUUUCCAAACUUGAGGCCAGAAAAGUUCAAAUUCAAUGACAAAUAUAAUUAAGAAGCUGGAUAACAGACAUUUAUGCAGGAAAGGAAGGAAAAUUCUCUUGCAAAUAUAUUUUCAUAAAAUCAUCUCCCAAAUGUAAAUAACCAGCAAAUGCUUUAACAAAUAUUCUGAGAAGUGAAAAAAACUCCCACCUUUAAAUAGAGUUCCGAAAGUAGUGGCACAACACACUUGCUGCACUUGUACUUGCUACUGAGCUGUUAUGGCCCUGGUGAGCCUGGGAGGCGGAACAAUGGGUUACUGGCCCCAACUGUAUCCUUUUCUCCCACUGCUUCCUGCAUCUGAAAUCUUUUCUUCAUUCUCUGGCUUGUUGAAAUCACGUCUUUAUUUACUUUGAGAUUCAG